AUAGUAUUGUUAUGUUAUCGAUCAGAUGUUUCACUUACUAUAAAGUGCAAGUCCGAAUCAGACCAAGCGAUGGAUUUUUUCUUUGAUUAUUUCCCAUCAACAAUUACAUAGAUGUAUAUCCAACAUUUAUUUAAAUCUAUAUUCUUUGAACAAUGAGUUUCAUAGUGAAUUUGUAUGCAAAAAGACCGCCAAUGAUAGGACAGGCAGUACGAAGGUGGAAAUCUUUUUUUAAAUAUAAUUAAAUAUGUUCAGGUGGUUCCCUAGUAUGACGAUUUAUUUUCAAUUAAUUUAUAAUUUUAAUUUCGCCAGGAUAAGUAUGUUUUAAUAUUUUUAUUCCUGUCCUAAUGUUAACAUUUGUUGAAGAUCGCUUAUGAUAAUAUAGUUUUUUUCUCUCUCCACAUCCGAGUCUUAAAUAAACCGCGUGGCAUAAGUUUCAGACACUUCAGUUAGUCAUUGAACUAGCUGCAAGAAAAAUACUUUUUCGGCGCCAACCACGUAGGUGACAUAACUAAAAUGAUUAUCUCUUAUUAAUCAAUUAAAUCGACAAGUUUUUGUUGUUUUACUACCAUUUUUGUACGCAAUUUUAUUGGAUAGUAAUUUUUUUUCUGUCAAGUUUAGUGCAUAUCUAAACUCCAAUUGCAUAUACAUACCACUGUUGGUAUUUACACAUUGGCUUAUCAACUAACAGGCAAAUAGUGAACUGAUUCGAUGACAGAAAGCCAUGAAACAACAGAAUCAUUCUGCCAUUGUUGUUUUGGUGAGUGCCAGGCACACUGCCAAUAAAAUUGGUAGGCAGACGAAACUUUCAAAAAGCAACAGUUUAUCAUGUGUAUAAACAAUUUAAAGAAGAAGGAAAGAUUGAUAGAAAAGAACACAAGACUUGAAGUGAUUCCAAGUGCAAUCCAAAGUUUCUCACUCACCUCAAAUGCUCGAUUGAAGCUAACCCAUCCACAUCCAUGGCAACUCAUGCAAAGAAAUGCAAUGUGUCCCUUUCCACAGUGUCCAGAGCUGUGAACCUUGACAUGACUAGCUAUGUUCAAUGACACCAUCACCUCCUAACAGCCAAGGCCAAAUCAAUCAGAGUCGGGAGAUGCCCAAAGCUUCUGUUAUUCAUCAAACAUCAAAGUGCAAGAAAAUCUCUCAUAUUUGUGGAUAAGAAGAAGAUCACUGUGGAUGCUUAGGUGAAUCACAAAAAUUCUUGAGUGAUUGCAUACAACCCUUUUGACGUCCACCCACCCCCACUGUGUUUGGGA